rnacentral:rRNA from 1 species
GACGAACGCUGGCGGCAGGCUUAACACAUGCAAGUCGAGCGCGUAGCAAUACGAGCGGCAGACGGGUGAGUAACGCGUGGGAACGUGCCUUUUGGUUCGGAACAACUGAGGGAAACUUCAGCUAAUACCGGAUAAGCCCCGAGGGGGAAAGAUUUAUCGCCAAAAGAUCGGCCCGCGUCAGAUUAGGUAGUUGGUGGGGUAAUGGCCUACCAAGCCGACGAUCUGUAGGUGGUCUGAGAGGAUGAUCACCCACACUGGGACUGAGACACGGCCCAGACUCCUACGGGAGGCAGCAGUGGGGAAUAUUGGACAAUGGGCGCAAGCCUGAUCCAGCCAUGCCGCGUGGAUGAAGAAGGCCCUAGGGUUGUAAAGUCCUUUCGACGGAGACGAUAAUGACGGUAUCCGUAGAAGAAGCCCCGGCUAAUUUCGUGCCAGCCGCCGCAGUAA